rnacentral:rRNA from 2 species
CACAAGCAGUGGAGUAUGUGGUUUAAUUCGAAGCAACGCGAAGAACCUUACCAGGGCUUGACAUCCCUUGAAGCAGCUAGAGAUAGCUGUGUCCUUCGGGACAAGGAGACAGGUGGUGCAUGGUUGUCGUCAGCUCGUGUCGUGAGAUGUUGGGUUAAGUCCCGCAACGAGCGCAACCCCUGUGGUUAGUUGCCAGCAAGUAGCGUUGGGCACUCUAGCCAGACUGCCGGUGAUAAAUCGGAGGAAGGUGGGGACGACGUCAAAUCGUCAUGCCCUUUAUGUCCUGGGCUACACACGUGCUACAAUGGUCGGUACAACGAGAAGCAAGCCAGCGAUGGCAAGCAAAUCUCUAAAAGCCAAUCCCAGUUCGGAUUGCAGGCUGCAACUCGCCUGCAUGAAGUCGGAGUUGCUAGUAAUCGCGGAUCAGAAUGCCGCGGUGAAUGCGUUCCCGGGUCUU